UACGGAGGGUGCAAGCGUUGUUCGGAAUCAUUGGGCGUAAAGCGCGUGUAGGCGGCUAUCUAAGUCUGAUGUGAAAGCCCGGGGCUUAACCCCGGAAGUGCAUUGGAUACUGGAUGGCUAGAGGACGAGAGAGGGAAGUGGAAUUCCUGGUGUAGGGGUGAAAUCCGUAGAGAUCAGGUGGAACAUCGGAGGCGAAGGCGGCUUCCUGGCUCGUUUCUGACGCUGAGACGCGAAAGAGCGGGGAGCAAACAGG
rnacentral:rRNA from 1 species